CGAGGAGAAGGAGGAUCCUAGGACCCAGUUUCUUAGCACACAGAUCCACCUGGAAUUCUAGACGAGCCUUUUCUUCAGUUUUCUCAACAAAGUGUCUACACUCUACAGGUUGUACUUCCCUUAACUGGGACUCCCUGGUCCGGCAACAUCUGUGGUCUGGCAUGAUUUACUGAAUUAAGACUGCAUCUUCAACCAGAAUACGUGACUGAAUUAUACUGCCUGUGCCUAAUUCUGGGCCCAAUUUUGUGAGGUACUAAGUAUUCAGCAACUU